GUAAUAGUCGGAGGAGGAUGGUUCUGUCUGGAGGAAGUGGGUCACUAGGAGUGGGCCUUUAAAUCCCACCGUUUCCAGCAUGUGCUCUCUGCUUUCUGGCCUCUACCAUGCAAACAGCCACUGCUCCAUGUUUCUGCCACCACAGGCAUAGCUACUGUGCCGUGCCAUCCCGUCAGCGAUAGAAGGAAACUCAUCCGAAACCUGUUCCCUUCAUAAGCUGCUUUUGUGAGAUUUAUGGCCCAUAGUGAAGUUCAUCUUGUCUAUGAGCUGACCAGUAGAACCUGGAAGAAAAUGCAUUCUUCUCUAGAAACCACAAGCAGCCAACAGUUCAGCAUGGAUGGGGACACGGCCACGAGGACACAGGUCCUCCACAUUACUAACGAGUGCAGUAAAGUCCCCAAUUGCAGUGCCGCCCUGCAAGAAGCACCUGGAGUGUUCCUUCAAACCACAACUGGAAAGAAGUCAUGCAACACACGAAGUUCCACCUUUAACUUAGUUUUACAGCAACAUUCAUUGUCUGUGUAUUUAUGUUCCUCACCGUUCUUCACAGUGACCUGACCUUGUAGGGCCCUGACCAUGGAUGAGCCCUUCCUUGGAACUCUCAUGAUGCUCUUCAUUUUCCAUUUUUUUUCUUGUCAGUUUCCUUCCUAGGUCUCUACACCACUGGUCAGAAAACAGAUGCAUAUCUGUAUACAUGCAUGAUAAUAACAACAGCAUAAACAUGAAUUUAGUACCAUUCCUUAUUAAGAUCAUUAAUUCAGCAGCUACAUGGGAGAGACCAAGGCUGGGGCCAGAGCAGUGGUCAUCGCUGGUAUAAAGCAAAACAACAUAAUACUGACACACACAGAACCAUGGGUUGAAUUUUAUGAUCAGAUCUUUAAUGAGCAUCUUACAGCUUGUUAUAGGAAAGUAUUUUCAAUUAGCUAAAUAUGUGUAAUAAUUGAAUAAGCACCACUAGAAGAAAUGAGCUUCCAGCAAUAAAAGCAUUUAAACAGAGCUUAUGAGACCAACUUGAAGUUAAUUUCCAAAAACGUGUUUCUCUUGCUAUGGACUGGAAGAAUGCUGAGGGCAAAUGACCAUUUACCUAGAUUGUAUUUUAUAUAAAAAUCGCUGGUGCUCCCAUGAAUUUUUCAUAUAUAUUAAAUUCUCUUUAUGUUCUUAAGCAUCCUGUGAAAUAAAUCAAGAGCUGUGCUUAAUGACAAACGUGCCUGUGUGCGUUGCCUCGGGAGGCCGAGGUCAGAGGAUUGAGUUCCACGACGACCUGGGUUAUGUAAGUAGUCUGAGGCUGGCAUGAGACCCCUGUUUCAAAAAGGUAAGCUAAUUAACUAACUCACAACCAAUUAAUAAAUAAAUUAACAAGCAGUGAGACAGGCUCAGAGAAAAUUCCCACAAAACUCUAGAGGUGGAAAAAAUUAGCAUAACUGAGAUCCGACCCCAGCCAGUUCCAUUCCUAAACUGUAUUGUCGAUAUAAGUGUUCAGGAACUGUUUGUCUUCCUCUUGUCUCGCUGUCAUAAAGGCUUCAGCCUUAAACCACUAGAUUCAUAACUCACCUUAUGUCAGACAGGACAGAAGGGAGAAGGAGAUGGAUUCUCCCAAACCCACCUCCAGUGAUCUACUUCUUCCAACUAGGUCCAGGCACCGCGCUUCAGCAUCUCCCAAAAGAGAGUCACCAGCUGGGACUCCAGCCUUCAAUACAUAAUAAGCCUUUAAUGGAAUAAAUCAUCUCUACAUGAGGUAGAAUCUACUGGCUUUGCCGGUUAAAGAAGUCCUCUUUCAUAGUCGCUACAAAGUUCUAGGAUGCCCAGAAUCUUGGAAGAACAACUGAAGGAAAUCCUCAAGCAUGUGAAACCCCUAGGAUCUCAGUCAUCUUGAGGGAAUCGUUCAGUGGCCCUGGAAUUUUAGACCUUCCAAGGUAGGAGGCUUCUCAUCUCUGUAUUUAUUCCUUCCCAGCACUGGGAUUUCUAGAAAGAAUAGAAUUAAACCAAUGAAUGCAGCAGGUAUUGACUGGGUGGAUGGGGGUAACCAGGAUGUUGGAGUUAGUAAUACGAAGAACAAGAGGCAGUUCUCGCGGGCAGCGUUGUCUUUUGUGAGUCGUCCUAGUGUUCCAGCUAUUCCAGUACUUUGCUAGUCCUAGGUGGCCUCUGGGUUCCUAUUUGCCUGGUUUCUUGUCCCUGUGCAAGCAGGGCUGGAAUCGGCUGUGAUGCAGGCUGUUAAGCACACACGAGUUCCUUUGGAGACUGUACAAUCAAGGACUCCAAGUCUUGCCGUCUAGUUAUCUCAUGAUUUAUGGCUGGAGGGGUGGCUCUCCUGCAAACGAUUGGACAAUGAUGAUAAAGGAGAUAGCAGCACCUCUAGGGCUGCUUCCUGUUACCCUUUUCUAUAGUUACCAUUUAGAAGCAUUUAAUAGCGUCCGGAGUGCUCGGGGUGUAAAACCAUUCCCGCUCGCUCACCGCUGUACUGUGGAGUCAGUUGGCGACUCCUCUUUGGCUUUCUAAACCAGAAGAUAACCCAAUUCACAACUACC